AUUGAACGCUGGCGGCAGGCCUAACACAUGCAAGUCGAACGAGUGGCGGACGGGUGAGUAAUGUCUGGGAAACUGCCUGAUGGAGGGGGAUAACUACUGGAAACGGUAGCUAAUACCGCAUACCAUCAGAUGUGCCCAUAUGGGAUUGGCUUGUAGGUGAGGUAACGGCUCACCUAGGCGACGAUCCCUAGCUGGUCUGAGAGGAUGAUCAGCAAAACUGGAACUGAGACACGGUCCAGACUCCUACGGGAGGCAGCAGUGGGGAAUAUUGCACAAUGGGCGCAAGCCUGAUGCAGCCAUGCCGCGUGUAUGAAGAAGGCCUUCGGGUUGUAAAGUACUUUCAGCGGGGAGGCGUUACCGGCAGAAGAAGCACCGGCUAACUCCGUGCCAGCAGCCGCGGUAAUAC
rnacentral:rRNA from 1 species